ensembl:lncRNA
CUUCCAUUUCCCUUAAAUAGGACACUAGAAGUAAGAUGUGUUUUAUACAUGUAGGACCAUGUACAUGGAAAAUGUUGCCUUAAAAAGGAGGAUACUAGAUCCAAGCAGGAGGUAAUUACACUUGUUGGAGACUUCUUUUAGUACAGAAAAUGACCUUAUUGCCACUUAAUCAGUAACCCCCUAGAAAAUACUUUGUCGUAUUGCCCUCUGUGACUCAGUUCCACCCAUUGCUCUAAUUCAUUUUUAAAACACCAAGAUAGCCCAGAUGUUCACCUUGAAUCCUGAAGAAGGGACUUCACUAAUGGUUGAUACCACUUUGGCUUUAUUACAGCUAAUGGUUGGUUUUCUCUUUUAUUUGGAUUUUAUAUCGGUGGACCGCAUUUAGAGCGUAGUUAUUUCAGACCCACUCUAAAUAAUAUCCUUCACAGUCAAACAUAUUUCUUCAUCCAACCAACAAGCAAGCUCAGAAUCUGGAUUUAAAGAGACUAAAGGCUAAAAGUUCAUCCGUGCUUUCCAGUUGUUUUCUAGGUUAUAGGUGGUAAUGUUUCAAGGACAAUUUCCUGUCUCUGUAUUCCUUUUUUUUUUUUUUUUAAAGAAAAUUUGUUCUUGCAUUCCAUUUCUUCUGGUCUACGAGUGAAAUUGACCUCUUAUAUGUCUGACCAACUGUCAAGCCUGCAAAAAAAUUCAGUCAGUGCGUCUAAGAGGGAAUCCAUUAAAAGCGAGGCAUUAGCAGAGAGCAUGCUCUUCUGAUCAGGUCAGUCUGCCCUGAUUCAGACCAUGUUUUGCUUUUCUAUCCACAGAAACAGCAGAAAGGAGCCAAAUGGCAAAACUGGUUAAAAAAUAGUUUCCAUGUUGGCCCAGAAGGAAUCACAAAUGCUUCACAUAUUGAUUCACUGAAUUUAUAAAUUUCUCCAACUAGCUACAAGCAAAAAUCAAACAUUUUAUAAUUCAAACCAAGCUCAUAUUAUUGGGGUGUGAAGAGCUUUCUGGGAAGAUUGGACCAGUGAGAAAGGAAUAUGCAUGCAUUGACGCAUUUGACUGUUUUCCAUGUUUACUCUCUGAAAUACACCAACUCUCUAAAUGCUUACGCAUUGCGCUUAAAGCUGUAGAAGUAGUCUGCAAAAAACAAAAAUAAAUGUAAACAAUGAAAAAAGAUGAAACUGGGCAGAAGUGGGAGCAUUUGAUAUGACAGAGGAAGCCAGUGGCCAAACAGACAGAACAGCAACAGCUACAAAGACAGAGUCACUGCUAACGUGGCAG